CAAGAAGCCGAAAGGCUACUUAAAACCAUCGCGAACUUAUCCAAGUUGCUUCGGCGGCGCGGCUCCCCUCACGGGGGACCGCAGCCCCCGCCUCUCAGGAGGUAAGGGGCAGCCGCCGGAGGUACGAAACUCUGUAUUAUAGUGGUAUCUCUGAGUAUAAAACAAAUAAGUCA
rnacentral:misc_RNA from 1 species